rnacentral:rRNA from 1 species
AAGCGAAACCGCGAGGUAGAGCAAAUCCCCAAAAACGGUCUCAGUUCGGAUUGCAGGCUGCAACUCGCCUGUAUGAAGUCGGAAUUGCUAGUAAUCGCGGAUCAGCAUGCCGCGGUGAAUACGUUCCCGGGCCUUGUACACACCGCCCGUCACACCAUGAGAGCCGGGAACACCCGAAGUCCGUAGUCUAACCGCAAGGAGGACGCGGCCGAAGGUGGGUUUGGUAAUUGGGGUGAAGUCGUAACAAGGUAAC